GAUGAACGCUGGCGGCGUGCCUAAUACAUGCAAGUCGAGCGAACAGACGCGGUCCUUGCUCCUCUGACGUUAGCGGCGGCCGAGUGAGUAAUAAGUGGAUAACCUACCUCUACGUCUUGGUUAACUACGGGAAACCGGUGUUACUACCACGUAAUAUAUUGAACCUCUUGGUUCAAUGGUGAAAGAAGGUUUUUGUGUCAGUUAUAGAUGGGUCCGCGCCGCAUUAGCUUGUUGGUAGGGUAAUGGCUUACCAAGGCAACGAUGCGUAGCCGACCUGAGAGGGUGAUCGGCCACACUGGAGGUGAGACGAGGUCCAGACGCCUACGGGAGGCAGCAGUAGGGAAUAUUACGCAAUGGGCGAAAGCCGGACGGAGCAACGCCGCGGGGGUGAUGAAGGUCUUCGGAGCGUAAAACUCUGUUAUUAGGGAAGAACAAGUGUGUAAGUAACUAUGCACGUCUUGACGGUACCUAAUCAGAAAGCCACGGCUAACUACGUG
rnacentral:rRNA from 1 species